rnacentral:rRNA from 1 species
GACGAACGCUGGCGGCGUGCUUAACACAUGCAAGUCGAAAGCAGUGGGGACGGGUGAGUAACACGUGGGUAACCUCCCAUCAGAGGGGAUAACACUUGGAAACAGGUGCUAAACCGAUACUGAUGGAUGGACCCGAGGUGCAUUAGCUAGUUGGUGAGGUCACGGCUCACCAAGCCCACGAUGCAUAGCCGACCGGGGAGGGUGAUAGGCCACACUGGGACUGAGACACGGCCCAGACUCCUACGGGAGGCAGCAUUAGGGAAUCUUCGGCAAUGGACGAAAGUCUGACCGAGCAACGCCGCGUGAGUGAAGAAGGUUUUCGGAUCGGAAAACUCUGUGGUUAGAGAAGCGGUAUCUAACCAGAAAGCCACGGCUAACUACGUGCCAGCAGCCGCGGUAAUAC